UAAAAAACAGUUAUUAGCAAGAGCCGGGUAAGACCGGUGCCAGCCACCGCGGUAACACCGGCGGCUCGAGUGGUGACCACUAUUAUUGGGUCUAAAGGGUUCGUAGCCGGCUUAAUAAGUUCUUUGGGAAAUCUGGCGGCUUAACCNUCAGGCUGUCGAAGGAUACUGUUAGGCUUGAGACCGGGAGGGGCUAGAGGUACUUCAGGGGUAGGGGUGAAAUCCUGUGAUCCCUGUGAGACCACCAGUGGCGAAGGCGUCUAGCUAGAACGGGUCUGACGGUGAUGAACGAAAGCUAGGGGCACGAACCGGAUUAGAUACCCGGGUAGUCCUAGCCGUAAACGAUGCGAGCUAGGUGUCACGGUAGCUGCGAGCUACUGUGGUGCCGUAGGGUAGCCAUGAAGCUCGCCACCUGGAA
rnacentral:rRNA from 1 species